AUCGUUUAUGUUAAACUAUAAAUUUUGUGUGAAUUGCUACUCUCGUAAAUAUAUACUGAAUAAUACAUUGGAAUAUAGAAACGAUUUGGGUGAGCGGUCCAACUUUUCGCUGCAUUAUAAUAAGGAUAACUGCAAUAUAUUGGUUUCGUCAAUAUUCAUCGCUUGACCAAAAAAAAACUUUGUCAUUGAGUUGCACCACAAAAGGAAGAAAUGGAAAAAA